GCAAGUCGAACGAGGAAUGGAGAGCUUGCUCUCUAUAACCGAUUGGCGAACGGGUGAGUAACACGUGAUCAACCUGUCUUCUGGCGGGGGGCAACCUGGGGAAACCCGGGCUAAUACCGCAUAAAGCCUUUCCUUCGCAUGGGGGGAAGGCCAAAGGGGGCCUCUGCUUGCAGGCUCUCACCGGAAGAGGGGAUCGCGGCGUAUCAGCUUGUUGGUGAGGUAGUGGCUCACCAAGGCUACGACGCGUAGCGGGUCUGAGAGGACGAUC
rnacentral:rRNA from 1 species